AUUGAACGCUGGCGGCAGGCUUAACACAUGCAAGUCGAGCGGAGCGAGGGUGCUUGCACCUUAGCUCAGCGGCGGACGGGUGAGUAAUGCUUAGGAAUCUGCCUAUUAGUGGGGGACAACAUUCUGAAAGGAAUGCUAAUACCGCAUACGCCCUACGGGGGAAAGCAGGGGCUCUUCGGACCUUGGGCUAAUAGCUGAGCCAAAGUCGGAUUAGCUAGUUGGUGGGGUAAAGGCCUACCAAGGCGACGAUCUGUAGCGGGUCUGAGAGGAUGAUCCGCCACACUGGGACUGAGACACGGCCCAGACUCCUACGGGAGGCAGCAGUGGGGAAUAUUGGACAAUGGGCGGAAGCCUGAUCCAGCCAUGCCGCGUGUGUGAAGAAGGCCUUUUGGUUGUAAAGCACUUUAAGCGAGGAGGAGGCUCUUAAGGUUAAUACCCUUGAUGAGUGGACGUUACUCGCAGAAUAAGCACCGGCUAACUCUGUGCCAGCCGCCGCAGUAACAC
rnacentral:rRNA from 1 species